rnacentral:rRNA from 1 species
UACGAAGGGGGCUAGCGUUGUUCGGAAUCACUGGGCGUAAAGCGCACGUAGGCGGAUGUGUCAGUCAGGGGUGAAAUCCCGGAGCUCAACUUCGGAACUGCCUUUGAUACAGCACGUCUUGAGUCCGAUAGAGGUGGGUGGAAUUCCUAGUGUAGAGGUGAAAUUCGUAGAUAUUAGGAAGAACACCGGUGGCGAAAGGCAGCCCAUCUGGGAACCCGGCACUGACGCUGAGGCGCGAAAGCGUGGGGAGCAAACAGG